CGUGUCGUGAGAUGUGGUUAGUCCGCACGAGCGCAACCCCUACUUGUUAGUUGCCAUCAUUCAGUUGGGCACUCUAGCGAGACUGCCGGUAAUAAACCGGAGGAAGGUGGGGAUGACGUCAAAUCAUCAUGCCCCUUAUGACCUGGGCUACACACGUGCUACAAUGGUUGGUACAACGAGUUGCGAGUCGGUGACGGCGAGCUAAUCUCUUAAAGCCAAUCUCAGUUCGGAUUGUAGGCUGCAACUCGCCUACAUGAAGUCGGAAUCGCUAGUAAUCGCGGAUCAGCACGCCGCGGUGAAUACGUUCCCGGGCCUU
rnacentral:rRNA from 1 species